rnacentral:misc_RNA from 1 species
GAUGAAGAACGCAGCGAAAUGCGAUAAGUAGUGUGAAUUGCAGAAUUCAGUGAAUCAUCGAAUCUUUGGACGCACAUUGCGCCCCUUGGUAUUCCAUGGGGCAUGCCUGUUCGAGCGUCAUUUGUACCUUCAAGCUCUGCUUGGUGUUGGGUGUUUGUCUCGCCUCUGCGUGUAGACUCGCCUUAAAACAAUUGGCAGCCGGCGUAUUGAUUUCGGAGCGCAGUACAUCUCGCGCUUUGCACUCAUAACGACGACGUCCAAAAGUACAUUUUUACACUCUUGACCUCGGAUCAGGUAGGGAUACCCGCUGAACUUAAGCAUAUCAAUAAGCGGAGGA